UGAAUAAGGUUGAGUUUUUAUAUUUUUUGAGUGCUCAGCUCGCGCCCUAACCCUCUUGCAUUCCGCUCACUCCGUCUUUGAACCUCUGGAAGCGUCUUCCAACCCUAAUUUUGCACUCCUCCGACUUCUGGACUUUCAAGGGUUUCACCAAAUUCGUCACGCGCCUCCUCUCCCUCCGUGACGCCUCGCUCGCACUCCUCAAACUCGAUUUCGAGCGCCGCGGCUGCAUCGAGCCGCAGCUCCUCAAACGGAUCGUCAAAUAUGUCGUUUCCCACAAUGUUCGCCAGGUAAAUGCUUUCAGGAAAAUGUUGGAAGGGAACCGAACAUAUCCUAUUUGCAGGUAACCUUGUCCAAUUCUGCAUGCGGCAAAAGAGUUAUUUUCAUGGAUGGGGAUAUAAAGUAAUGCGUGUUUUAUCUUUAACCCGUUUUUUCUCCUCUCCUCUGGAUUUUACUGGAAUCCCUGCUGUUGUUGACCUGGCUUGCGUGCGUGAUGCUAGGAAUAAGCUUGGCAGUGAUUCUAAUAAGAUUAAUCCUCUGGUUCCUGUUGAUCUUGUCAUUAAUCAUUCAGUUCAAGUUGAUGUAGCAAGGUCAGAGAAUGUAGUGCAGGCCAAUAUGGAGCUUGAGUUCUAGAGAAACAAUGAGAGAUUUGCUUUUCUUAAAUGGGGAUCAAAUGCUUUCCGUAAUAUGCUUGUUGUCCCUCCUGGAUCUGGUAUAGUACAUCAGGUCAAUCUUGAAUAUCUUGGACGCAUUGUUUUCAAUACUGAGGGCUUGUUGUAUCCUGACAGUGUAGUUGGAACUGCUUCACAUACAACAAUGAUAGAUAGGCUUGGAGUUGCUGGAUGGGGCUUUGGUGGUAUUGAAGCAGAGGCAACAGUGCUUGGCAAGAAAGAUGUUGGAUUUAGUUGAGCUUCAUCAGCCCCCAUUAUGUACCCAAAAUAGUGAAAGGUGAAACCAGUUUCACUUGUGUCAUGAAGUUUGGUGGCUCCUCUGUGGCUUCUGCUGAUAGGAUGGAAGAGGUGGCUACCCUUAUAUUGAGUUUUCCUGAAGAGAGGCCUAUUGUUGUUCUCUCUGUUGUGGGAAAAACAACAAACAAGGUUUUGCUGGAAAUUUUUUUUUGCUCCACUUUUUUUUUUCAUGUUGGUUUUUGCACUACUUUGGGUUGUGCUGGUUAAGGAUUGUUGUUGAAGAAAAAGGUUGCUUUCUGGUUUUGUUAUGCUGGAGAGAAAGCUGUGAGUUGUGGUGUUAUCAAUGUAUCAAGUAUUGAGGAGCUUUGCUUUAUAAAAGACCUGCAUCUAAG